rnacentral:rRNA from 1 species
GACGAACGCUGGCGGCGUGCUUAACACAUGCAAGUCGAACGGAAAGGCCCUGCUUUUUUGGGGUGCUCGAGUGGCGAACGGGUGAGUAACACGUGAGUAACCUGCCCUUGACUUUGGGAUAACUUCAGGAAACUGGGGCUAAUACCGGAUAGGAGCUCCUGCUGCAUGGUGGGGGUUGGAAAGUUUCGGCGGUUGGGGAUGGACUCGCGGCUUAUCAGCUUGUUGGUUGGGUAGUGGCUUACCAAGGCUUUGACGGGUAGCCGGCCUGAGAGGGUGACCGGCCACAUUGGGCCUGAGAUACGGCCAAGACUCCUACGGGAGGCAGCAGUGGGGAAUAUUGCACAAUGAGAGGAAGCCUGAUGCAGAAACGCCGCGUGCGGGAAGACGGCCUUCGGGUUAUAAACAGCUUUCGCCUGUGACGAAGCGUGAGUGACGGUAAUGGGUAAAGAAGCACCGGCUAACUACGUG